rnacentral:tRNA from 1 species
UCCCUCUUAGCUCAAUUGGUAAAGAAUCUGCCUGCAAUGUAGGAGAUCUGGGUUCGAUUCCUGGGUUGGGAA